rnacentral:rRNA from 1 species
CGUCAGCUCGUGUCGUGAGAUGUUGGGUUAAGUCCCGCAACGAGCGCAACCCUCGACCUUAGUUGCCAGCAUUCAGUUGGGCACGUCUAAGGUGACUGCCGCUAAAAGUCGGAGGAAGGUGGGGAGUGACGUCAAAUCAUCAUGCCCCUUAUGACCUGGGCUACACACGUGCUACAAUGGGCGGUACAAAGGGUCGCGAACCCGCGAGGGGGAGCCAAUCCCCAAAACCAUCCUCAGUUCGGAUCGCAGGCUGAAACCCGCCUGCGUGAAGUCGGAGUUGCUAGUAAACGCGUGUCAGCAUAGCGCGUUGAACUACGUUCUCGGGCCUU